rnacentral:rRNA from 1 species
GAUGAACGCUGGCGGCGUGCCUAAUACAUGCAAGUCGAGCGAACAGACGAGGAGCUUGCUCCUUUGACGUUAGCGGCGGACGGGUGAGUAACACGUAGGUAACCUACCUAUAAGACUGGGAUAACUUCGGGAAACCGGAGCUAAUACCGGAUAAUAUUUCGAACCGCAUGGUUCGAUAGUGAAAGAUGGCUUUGCUAUCACUUAUAGAUGGACCUGCGCCGUAUUAGCUAGUUGGUAAGGUAACGGCUUACCAAGGCAACGAUACGUAGCCGACCUGAGAGGGUGAUAGGCCACAUUGGAACUUGGACACGGACCAGGCUCCUACGGGAGGCAGCAGUAGGGAAUCGUACGCAAUGGGCGAAAGCCUGGCGGAGCGACGCCGCGUGAGUGAUGAAGGCCUUCGGAUCGGAAAACUCUGUUAUUAGGGAAAAACAAACGUGUAAGUAACUGUGCACGUCUUGACGGUACCUAAUCAGAAAGCCACGGCUAACUACGUG